GAUGAAGAACGUAGCGAAAUGCGAUACGUAAUGUGAAUUGCAGAAUUCAGUGAAUCAUCGAGUCUUUGAACGCACAUUGCGCCCUCUGGUAUUCCGGAGGGCAUGCCUGUCCGAGCGUCAUUGCUGCCCUCAAGCACGGCUUGUGUGUUGGGCCCCGCCCCCCGAUCCCGGGGGGCGGGCCCGAAAGGCAGCGGCGGCACCGCGUCCGGUCCUCGAGCGUAUGGGGCUUUGUCACCCGCUCUGUAGGCCCGGCCGGCGCUUGCCGAUCAACCAAACUUUUUUCCAGGUUGACCUCGGAUCAGGUAGGGAUACCCGCUGAACUUAAGCAUAUCAAAAGCGGAGGA
rnacentral:misc_RNA from 1 species